rnacentral:misc_RNA from 1 species
GAAAUGCGAUAAGUAGUGUGAAUUGCAGAAUUCAGUGAAUCAUCGAAUCUUUGAACGCACAUUGCGCCCCUUGGUAUUCCAUGGGGCAUGCCUGUUCGAGCGUCAUUUGUACCCUCAAGCUCUGCUUGGUGUUGGGUGUUUGUCCCGUCUCCGCGCGUGGACUCGCCCCAGAGUGAUUGGCAGCCGGCGUACUGGUCCCGGAGCGCAGCACAUGUCGCGCAAACGAGUGCCUUGGUACGGCGGCGUCCAUAAGCCCCUCUCUCACGCUCUUGACCUCGGAUCAGGUAGGGAUACCCGCUGAACUUAAGC